rnacentral:lncRNA from 10 species
CAGCAGAUACCAUUAUAAUAUCCACUUUAGUAAUAGGAAAGUCAAGGCUCAGAGAUGAAAAUAGACAUGCAGCGAUUGCAUAUGAAAGCCAGGGUCAAGGCCAUAUCUGACUUACUCAUAUUUCCUUCAUGACCCGCAGAUUACGUUGCCUCUCUGUGGACUCCUGGCUGCACAUUCUCCCAUAAGCAGUCUUGGUGACCCAUUGGAACAUGCCCUUUCAGCUACUGUCAUUCAUGAAAGUUUUUUUGUUAAUGAGACUAACAGAAAAAAUGGCAAGAAACUAUUUUUUUAAAGGAUUUUCCUUUGUACAAAAUAAUUCAAAAGAAAAAUUUGCCUCUUGAUAUAUAUUUUUUAAACUUUUUAAUUGGAUAUUGGCAAGUUAUAACUGUAAGGUAAAAACAUAAGGUAAAAAAUGAUGCUGUGAUAUAUGUAUACAAUGUGGAAUGAUUGGCUCAAGCUAAUUAAUAUCCAUCACCUCAAACACUAUCAUUGAUUCCUCCCAUCUAGUUGAAACAUUAUAUUCUUUGAUCAUCGUCUUCCCUUUCCCCACCCUCAGCCUCUGGUAACCAUCAUUCUACUUUCUGCUUCUGCGAGUUCCGUAUUUUUAGCUUCCACAUAGAAGUGAGGACAUACAAAUUUGUCUUUCUGAAUUUGAACUUUUCUUAAGUUAAACUAAUACAUAUUAUUUUGGCACUGAUCUCAAAGUGUUAUUCUACUUACUGAUUUAUUAUUCUAUUUAUUGGGGAAGUACACAAUCCCUUGAAUAUUUCAGAACUAUAGGAGUUAUAUUACAUUGUGGUGAGCUAACGUGUUUGCCUCUGUCUUGCAGUGUCCCUGGGUUGUGGCCAAUUUUAAUUUGGAGCUAUGUAUGAUUUGAUAAUCCUUUCUAAAUGACAAUGCAAACACAAAUUCAUGACUAUAAAAUAUGACAUUAUCCAUUUGAUAGGUAAGAGGGACUACGUUUGAGUUGAAAAGGAAGUCAUUUACCAUGGUUCCAUUAAGAGGGACUCACCUCAGGGUGGACACUACCUUUGCCAGAGAAAUAUUUUGAUCAUUUAAUUGAAUUUUCUCUUAACUGGAAUAUCAACUCAUGUUUUGUGAUCUUUUUAUAACAGGGACUCAUUUUAUUAACAGUUUGGCAAUAUACAAAUAUGUUCUUAUUUUAAAUUAAUAACUAAAUUAAUAAAUGUCACAAAAUUGGUAUUUAUAAAUUAUGCAAAAAUAAACCAUGGUUUCUUUAUUCACUCUAAUGGUAAACACAAGAUUAAAGGCUUAUAUGUCUAUGAUCUGCUUUUCUUUUCUUUCUUCCUUUUUUUUUAAGAUGGAGUCUUACCCUGUCACCCAGGCUGGAGUGCAAUGACAUGAUCUUGGCUCACUGCAACCUCCUCCUCCUGGGUUCAAGUGAUUCUCAUGCCUCAGCCUCCCAAGUAGCUGGAAUUACAGGUGCACAUCACCAUGCCCAGUUUUUUUGUGUUUUUAGUAGAGACGGGAUUUCACCAUUUUAACCAGGCUGGUCUCGAACUCCUGACCUCAGGUGAUUCACCCACCUUGGCCUCCCAAAGUGCUGGGAUUACAGGCCUGAGCCACUAUGCCUGGCUUGAUUUACUUUUUGUCCCAGUUUUGACUCAGCAGGUUAUGAUCCACUGCAAACUACUAAAAUUUGCAUUUUCUUUUCCCUGAAUGAGUCUUAACAUUUUAUAGCUUUUAACUGUCCAAUUAUCCUAACAUUUUAUUUUUGGUCUAGAGGAAAAGAACCAAAACCAUUUUUUUUCUAUUUUUUUAAACUAGCCAUAGUGAUUGCCAUCCUAUUGUAACAGUUGGCUGAUGUUUUGGUCUACUUUUGCAUUAUCCUGCAGGUAUCCUUGUGGUUGAUCUCCAUGCACACUCAAACACCCCAACUCUCCAACACAACCCACUUCCAUGUGGUUGGCCUUAUACUGGGGAAAGGGGAAGGCACAGAAGUUCAAUAGGGGAUCCCUGGGAUGACAUUCUAGCAGGAAUAAAUAUAUCAAAUAGUUUUGCUAGUCUCAUGAGGAGUAGAAAAAUAGACAAAAUAUCAAAGUAACAUCAUCAGUCCCAAAGGUUAUGAAAAAUUAGUCAUGGCCAGUAGUGCAAAAAGAAAAAUCGAGAGAGUGAAUUCUGAAGGAAAAUACAUCUUACCCACAUGAUAUCUAUAUUGACCAGUGUUUGUGAAUGAAUUUUCUCUAGCGCAACUGUUGUGCGAAGGCUUAAGAUCAUUUCUACAGGAAUCAUAUUCCAAGUAAAUUCAGCCAUGCUAAAUGCAGUUUCAGCCAGCAACACCAGAUAAACAUUUGCUGUUAGAAAGAAUGUCAACACCCCAUCAACCACCAUAUAUACUAUUCGGCAUUGACUCAGCCAAGUCUCCAAUUUAUCUGUAUCAUUUGUUAUAACCUUAGUUUUAAUUUUGCCAUGUCUUCCAUUCCAAUGUAUCUAAUGUUAGACUAUUUAAGAGAUAUUUACCCAGGAAAGUUUAAUCACAGUACACUAGAAAAGAUGCUCUUUCCUGAUAAUGAGGAGAACUGGACUUUUCCCUCCAUUUUGACACAGCUAGCUAUCACUUUGGGACAAAUCACAACUUUAUCGAGCUUCAGCUUUCUCAUCUGUAAAAUAUGUGCACUGAAAUUAUAACUCUACCAUUCUGUUAUGAUAGGUAUCUGAGAGAUUUCACUUCUAUAGCAAUUACAUCGUGAGAGCACUGGCCCUAUAAAGCCAAGAAGGAAUGAAAAGAGGCUAAGACAAAAAAUAGUGAGUUAAAAUGUAAAGGAUACCUUCUACCCCCCAAAAAGAAGAUACAGUUUCCUUGGUACCCUGGCCAUGUUCUUAUGGGUUUUCUCAGUAGCUUAUGAGCAUAUUCUUGACUUUUUGAUAUUUUAACUUCAUAGUCUUCUUUAAACAUUAUCCCCUGAACCUUGAAGGUUACAGACACUAUAGUGCUAAUGGCAAUGUCCUUGAAAGAUCAAAAAAAGUAAUUCUUGAGGUACUGUUAUUUGAGGUCCCUGUAACUAAUUUCAAAUUAAAUGAGCAUCAAGAGAAAAGAGUUACUCCUGAAAUAUUGUGCUCUCAUUUGACUUUGUUUUUUUUUUUGUUUUUUCUUUUUUAAAAUUCUUUUUCUCGGGAAGCAUAUUGUCUAUGUUUGUGUCAGGGUUGCCCUCAUUAUGCCCAACCACUUUUCAACUACACUUGGCUGAGGCUUACUCUAGAAUAACACAGUUCUAAAGUUAUCUGUUUGCAUAUGGUUGAUUCAGGAGGGAUUCAAAGGAUAAAUUUAUUGUGUUUCUAAGAAAGACAACCCUUUUCCCCCCAAACCUAAACAUAUAUAUAUUUUUCUGAAUGCACCCUCAAAAUCAGUGUCUUUCUCAAUCUAAUAUUAUAUUGGAAGAGGAAGCAUUGUUUAGACACAUAGUUAUGUACUACUGACUGUUGCUAUAAAAAUGAAGUUUAAUCUGCACAAUUUCCAUUGCUUUUCCUUUGAAAUCUGGUGUUUAUUGCAACAGAACUUCAGAUUUUGUAACAUGAUAGUCUGAAAGACAGGCCAACACAGGCAGCUCUUUGGAAACAAGAGACCUGGUACUUCCAACAGCCAAAAAGCUGGCCAAACAUCAGGAACAAGGGAAAGACACAUCAGGUAGGUUCUGCUGAUUUCCCAGGCCUCUUUUAAUUAUUUUAUAGAGGAUUUCUUUUGACAAAUUAUUGACACUAUUUUGUUCUUAUGGUUCAUCUGUGUUUCUGCUAACCCUAUUCACCUGGAAGAGACUUUGGCCACCUGGAUGUGGUUUUUGUUUCUGUGAGAAAGGAAUUUUGUGUCCUUGACAUGUCCCUAGUAUAAAUAAAUGUUUAAUAAGGAAAGCAUGGAUCAAGAUGCUAUAUGUUUCCAGGUCAGUUUAGGAAAACUACUAUGAGUUAUUUAGUGCGUACAAUUAAGCAUGAAAGCAUGAAAAAUGUAUUUAUUAAAAAAUAUUUAUGGGACACUCCAGAAUAACUUGAUAGUUAGUUUGGGACAAUCACAUGACCCUCUGCACAUAACAUGGUCAUCCUUGGGUUAAAAAAGACAACUAAAUUCAAAUUUACACACUAUAUACUAGUGUGAAUUUUAAGAGAUCUUGAUAAGCUUAUUUCAUUAUUUAAAAAACUAGGAAUUUAAGAUAUAGAUCCGAAAUUUGCAGCAAACUAUAACAAAAGACAAGCUAAAGGAUAAGUCAACUACAAUUUCUAUGCCAUAAUUAGUCCCCAAAUAUUAUUAAGUGUCUUAUCUGGCCAGUGAGUUUUGUUUUUCUUCUGAAUUUUAAAGUUGAACAGCCAGUGAGGUAUUUUCUCAUAAGUUAAAUCAAAUUAUCCAUAUUAGUGUUGGUACUAAAAAGUAUCAUUUUACUUAUUUUAUACAUAAAUAAAGACAAAAAUCGUAGUUCAAUAUUGGGUGUAAUUUAGGUACUUAUUUCUAUAUACCUGUUCUUAUAUACCUGUUCUUAGGAGGGAUCCUCUUAGGUUAUAAUGAAGUUCUGUGUCUCCAAGAUCUAUACAUGAAAUAAUUGUGCUUUCUGGAAAGUACACAUUUGGUGACAAUGGUCACCAGUCUUCUCUGUCAUUAAAAUUUGUAUUUUCUUACCUGGAGUAGCAAGAUAUUAUUGUUGCCCUUAACUCUUUUCUUGAGCUGUAAUAAAUUUCUUCACUACUUGGUCUUAAAAAGCAUGGAGGAUUUAAAGCUAACUUGUGUCUUUGUCAUUGUCUGUGAAUUAUAGUCUUUAUUUAAAGGAUCACCAUCUAAAGCACCCCUGGUUUUUUUUAAAGCCCCCUUUUAAAAUUUUACCACUGUAACUAGGAAAUUACUGAUAAAUCAGUCUUGUUCACACAGAAUAUUAUUUAAAUGCUUUUUAUUACAAGGUAGAAAUAUUCUGGAAUGAAUAAUAAUAUGUAAAAUGUAAUGAGUAUUUAGUGAAAAUCUCUGUAGAGUUGUUGUAUUAUCAGUAUAAUGCAUAGUCAGAGAGUUUGUUUAUAUUUCGUAUUUCUCAAUCUGAGACACCAUAAUUAUUUCAAUCUUCAAAUGUUCAGUCUUUGUUAACACAGCAUUAGACAUUUGAGACCGGUGUGAAAACAAGGCGCCCUGCACCUGAAGAGGACUCUGGUCUAAUAAUGUGUUUGAUCACUUAGCUUGGAUAAAUAGUCAGGUUAUAUUUCAUGCUAGAAAAACCUUGGAAAAUGAGGGUAGAAGCUAUAAUUAGGUUUUACUUGGAUGCAUGCAUUGUGCAAUUAUUAAAAAAUGAGCUAGGCAAAGGAUAUUAUAUUCUUAGCUUUAUAUUCUAAAUAUCAAUAUUAGACAUUUAUCAUCAGACCUUUUAAAAGCCUCUGCUUUUAAAACGGACAUGGUGAUAGAUGACUUAAACUCAGACAACAACAGACUCUAAAAGCAAGAUAAACCACAAGGAAUUACUUCCUUUUAGUUUAAGAAAACUUGGACCUCUUAACAAAUCAGUAGGUGAUAUGUUGUAAUGAUUUUGUAUUAAUAUACUCUUUCUGCCACUUGAACUGGUUGCAUCAUCCAUACAUCAAGCAAAUAAAUAAGUUUCUCUAAAGACAGGUUGCUCAAUAACAUCUUAUUAAUGGAGAAUGAGCCAACUCUUCAGUAAUUUGGAAUAUCUAUUAGAGAUUGCUCAGAAAUAAAUAUAACCUUGACCAGAUAUAUUACACAUAAACAGUAUAAUUUACGGCAAUACAAUGAAAGCAGGCCCAUUCUAAACCUAGGCCUUUUAUUACUCAUAACCUGAUACUGUGAACAUUUGUUCUUUAGUAAACUCUGCUACAAAUCAUCAGAGUGAUUAUUAUAUAACAGAAGAUUCUCUGGCUGAUAUUCUUAUACUUUCCACAUCAGAAACAUGAGGAAAUUCUACAUGGUAAAAACAGCAACAACCAAAAAAUACUUAAAGUCAACAAACCAGGAAAAGACAUCUCUGAAUAUAGGAAUGCCAAACCUUUAACACAAUAAAACACAGAUUAUAUUUCAGAAGGCUAUAUUAUAUGUGUAUACCAACAUCAAUAUGUCCAGAGUAGCUGCACAGAGUUCCAUAUUUUAGUCUUUAUAAGUUCCCCUCCUCACCCUACUCAGUAGGCACUUUGUGUCUAGAAACUUCUGUGUCAACGGUUUUCCCUCUCUCUGGAAUUCAUCAGGACAGAAGUGAUUGGUGUGGUGGAAGAGGGUUGUGGUAAGAGUGAAGUUAUAUGAAAGUAGGAUGGAGGUUAGCAAGUAGUUAAAGUCCAGAAAGGCAAUAAGGUGUUAAGGAAGAACUUUUCCAUUUUACAGGUCUGAGCAAGCAGGAAAUCAACUCUACAAACUUUGAAACUUGGUAAAUAUGAAAACAUUCUCAAUACCAUUUGUCAUUUAAUAAAUACAAAUUAUACUAUUUUACUGCUUGCAUCUAGAAGUUUGUCAAAGAUCUCGUCUUAAUUAUUCAUUGUGUCGGCGAAGAUGUAAUAACAACAACAACAAAACUCCAAGCAGUUCACAUAUUAUUUGUGAAGGUUUAAAUUGGCAUAAUUCUUUAAAAGAGGAAUUUGUCAAUAUCUACCAAAAUUAAAAAGGUGCAUAGCUUUUGACCCAACAAUUCCACUUCUAAGACUUUAUGUUAUGCCUAAGUGUGUUAAUAGGCAAGAUAAUAAGUAUAUCCAGCUAUUCAGUGAGUAACUGUUUUGCAAGGGUCAGAAAACUGAAAAUAAUGUAAAGCCCCUUCACAGACAAUAGAGUAUACAUAUUCAGUCAUAUAAAAGAAUAAGGUAAAUUUUUAUAUACUGAUAUAUGAAGAACUCCCAGAUUUGCUAUUAAAUAAUAAUAUAGUUCAGUGUAAAUAUAGAUAGUAUUCUAUCAUUUGUGUAAAAACUGGAAAAUAAAAUAGUAAGAUUAUUCUGAAUUUUAAAACAUUUGAAUGUAUUAACUAUUCAAGAAUAAAAUAAAACUUCAAGAAAAAUG